rnacentral:rRNA from 1 species
UACGUAGGGGGCGAGCGUUGUCCGGAAUUAUUGGGCGUAAAGAGCUCGUAGGCGGUUCGGCAAGUCGGGUGUGAAAACUCCAGGCUCAACCUGGAGACGCCACCCGAUACUGCUGUGACUUGAGUCCGGUAGGGGACCACGGAAUUCCUGGUGUAGCGGUGAAAUGCGCAGAUAUCAGGAGGAACACCGGUGGCGAAGGCGGUGGUCUGGGCCGGCACUGACGCUGGAGGAGCGAAAGCGUGGGGAGCGAACAGG